CCUUAGCAUCUCUGCGACUGGAGUUUAACCUCAUCUGUACAUGUUGGCACGGAGAAGAAUAACGGUGUUCCGGGCUAAUAAUAAGCUUCAGUCUGAGCAACGCAGGUCAGACUGGUCGGCAGCAACUUCUCAUUUCCUCUGCGAGGCUUGGCAGGUGCCAUCAGCGGGAAAACACCCUAUCCUUUCCACGACCACAGGAACUUCAAGGAAUGCGACUUUCCAAGCAUGCAGCUGCAACCCGCUUCCUCCAAGUUCACACACGGUUAAAACUACUCKGUUACUCGUUGAGUUAAAACGUCAAUGUACUCAUUUAAGUUUUGACUUUUUAAGUUUGGAGAAGUCGUUUAGGGUUGACGAUUUCCAAGUGGAGAAAACACGCAAAUGGCGACAUCUUGUGGUUGUUUUGCAAAGCUGCAUACAAGAAAGUAUUCRCACCGUCACAUGUUUAGCAAUACAUUAACAAACAUUGGAUCAAAAUGUGAGAAAAUAUACCCASUUUAACGACGGUGACUUUCAAAUAACUACUUCUUGGAAAAUUGUAAAACUUUUCUCAGAAGUAAGAAUAUCUCGUCCAUCUCUUCGAAAGCUUUAGUUGUUCUUCCUCUGAAGCAAGUUUUUCUUGCUCUAAAACAAGAACAACUUGCUUUAGAGCAACAMAACUUUAUCCAACUAAAGCAAGUUGUUCUUGCUUUAGUUGGAUAUGUCUUUUGAACAUAUMUUCCUGAUGUGUUCAAAAGUCAGGAUAUGUCUUUUGAACAUAUAACACAGCCGUUAUAAGAUUAAACUUUGUAAAAGAUAAUUCUGGUUAAAAAAUGGG